GCUGGUGUAGCUCAGUAGGUAGAGCAGCUGAUUCGUAAUCAGCAGGUCAGCGGUUCGAGUCCGCUCAUCGGCUCCA
rnacentral:tRNA from 1 species